UGUUUUGAAAAGCCGGGCAAUGUUAGUUAGCAGGCUUGUUUUGCAAUAUUUAUAUGCACGCAAAUUCCUACACAAUGUUUAGAUAUAUCUCUAAGUGAAGGUCAGAUUAAAACAUGCCAAAGUCCGUGAAAAAGUCCUGCAGCACCCAGACCUCCAUUAGCAAGUACUUCGGAGGACUGAGUAGCAGCCGCAGCACUCAGUGUGGGAUUAAACAAAAUGCUGCUGAGCACCAGCUUUCUAGAGGGAAGCAGAAACCUACCUCUGAUGACAAUGUUGGUUUGCCAGCAAAACGAGCUAAGCUUUCUUCAAAAGGCCAGCAGCUGGAGGAGCUGCAGUGUGAAUCUGCAUCCAGUCAGACCGUCAAAGAUGUGUUUAACUCAUGAAUAUCUCCUAAACUUUCAUGCAGCUCAUAUUCCAGCCAUUUUCACUUUUCUGAAGCAUCAUAUUUCUGCAAACAGCAUAGUUAGUUUUCUUUAUGCUUAAUUUGGACUGCCUAUGACUGUAAACUGUAAUACGUUAUCUCCUUUCUGCAGAGACUAAGCUCACAUCAAGCAGGGGAGGAAGCAGCCUCUGCUCCUUUCACCUUGGACAAGCUGAAAGGCUUCGCUUGUUGGGCUGAGCUCAGUGUCAGGCACAGUGACACCCAAGAAGAAACAAAGAAAGAGGGUGCUAGCAGUAAAUUCUGUGACCAGAAAAGCAGCAUUUUACCUCCUUCUGAGGUUAUAGACCAUCACAAAACUACAAACAGAAUGCAAGAAGCAGAGGAGGUAUAUGAGAACGAAGAGGAGGACAUUAAAGAAAAGGAGGAUUUGUGACCUGCUGCAAAAAAACAGGGGUUCAGUUUGUCUCAGUUUGCAGGAAGAUUUGUGGAGCUGAGUCCCCCAUCAGACUGCUCUAAGAGUGUGUACACUCCCCUGACUCCUGCAGGUCAUCCAGUUUAAACAGCAGCAUAAGGAUGCCCUGCUGGCUGUGGAGUGUGGUUACAAGUACAGGUUCUUUGGAGAGGAUGCAGAGAUUGCUGCAAAGGAGCUGAAUAUCGUCUGUCAUCUGGAUCAUAACUUCAUGACGUGCAGCAUCCCCACACACCGCCUGUUUGUUCAUGUCAGGCGCCUGGUGUCUCACGGACACAAGGUUGGUGUGGUUAAGCAGACUGAGACGUCUGCCAUUAAAGCUUCAGGAUCUAAUAGGAGUCCACUCUGGUGGGGGAGGAUGUACACCCAGUCUGCAGACUGGAGGACGUGGCGGAGGGGGGCUGUGACGACGUUGUGUCUGACCCUCCUGACAGCUUCCUGUUGUGCAUCAGUGAGAACUGGGACAAACUGAAGAAGCAGCUCACUGUGGGGCUGGUGGCGGUUCAGCCCUCCACCGGAGACGUAUUUCUGGACUGUUUCCAUGAUGGUCCAUCUCGCUCUGAACUGGAGAGCUGUAUCAUAAAAAUCAACCCUGUGGAAAUCCUUGUGCCCUCAGACCUCUCAGAACAAACCCAAAGACUCCUGCUCAGCAUCGCCAAAGUCCAGUGCUCAGGCUGAUGACCGAGUGAGAGUUGAGAAAAGGGACAGCGCUCAGUUCCAGUUUGCCUCUGCAAUGAACACUGUCACCAAAUUCUACUGCCACACCCUGGAGAAAGACUCGCGCUCUCUUUCCUGCGUAGCAUCCUUUGAGAGCCUGGUUAUCUGCUGUUUGGGGCCCCUCAUCCAGUACCUCCAAGAAUUCAACUUAGAAAGAGUUCUUAGAAGUGAAAGGUACAUAAAAACAUACCAACUCUCACCCUUAGCAACGUAUCGCAUCCAGCGUUUUUUUCAGCAUCAGCAUUUUUAUUUGUGUAAUGAGUGCUGAGUUAAGUAGAUCUCUGGAGUGAUUCUCAUAUUUAUUCCUGUUUCAUGAUAGUGGUGUGUU